rnacentral:lncRNA from 7 species
ACAAAAAAAAUCACCUUGUAAACUUAUUCACAUUUUUUGGAGCUCACAGAACUGGUUAUAGUAGCAUGCUGAAAUAAAGAUUGUCAAGCCUCGUCUCACCCCAGAUCACAUCCGAGUGAGCUGACCCUUACAGCAGAAACAAACCGGGUACGUGACAGGAGGUGAAGCUCGCGUUGUAAGCGAUGUCCCUGGAGAUUGUGCACCACCGGGGAGAGGGCCGAGUCCGGCACGUGGAGCUCCCUCAAGCAAAGUGAGCAUCAGCACGGGCAGUUUGCUGCGGAGAGCUGCAUGGAAUCUGAGCAGCGAUGGAACUCAGGACAUCACUCGACCUUUCGGGCCGUCAACUGCAGCAGAAAUAAAAUAAACAUUUCCCAACGUGAGCAACUUCUGAGCCCUCUACCAUCACAUCUGCCUUCCUGAGCUGCAAGACAGUAACUUUCUGCAACUCUACAACACACUGCCUGACCUCAUCAACUGCAGAAGGAUAAAAUGGAAGUAAACUGAAAAUAUACUUGGAAACAUUUUUGGUAACCACUUUUUUCUGGUUAGAUUUCACGCAGACGUCGGGUUUCAGAAACAGAAGCAAACAAACACCAGUAAGAUUUCUGAGAUAGCCACACAUUGCAAUCCCAGUCAAACCACAAAAGCAGGUUUUAACAAGAACGACUUAAAAAUAAACCCAAUGUUAUCAGUUGUAUUCCAUGGAAUAAACCAAAGCAACGUAGACCUGGUGAGGAACACUUCUAAAAUCACAAUUUGACAGUGAAGAGCUUUGCCUCUGCUCCCAAAGGCACAACUACUUUUACCACGGCUCUUCCACAGCAGUGAGACCCAGCACACAUGAGUUAACAGGACGAACACCACUGAACCUCAGACUGUUUUUGGUAUCGUGUCCCCUCCCCCUCCACUCUGGACAGAAGUCCAACAGCGGGGACUGUAGAAAACAACUCGUCCCAAACGUUAAAGCAAUUACAGCAUUUCUCAGAGACUGGAUUUAAACUGAAACCAGACUGAAAUACGUGGAUGCCCAUGGAAUGUUGAGCUGAAGCUGGUCUCCCAGCCUGCAGUGCAACACCUGCUGUUUAAAACCCAAUCUCCGUACCACAUGACUUUAAAAACACAAUCAUGUUCAGAGAUGCGAUACAAAUAAAACUACAGUUUU